CCUCCACACACACACUCACGCGCGCGCGCACGCACAGGAAGUAGUGAAGAGUGCGAGGAGAAGUGCAUGCUCUCAAGUGACGCGAUCAGAUACGUGCGCCUUGCCCCUUUCCGCGUGCGCUCUCCUCCCCCAUUGAAUGAAUUUUGAGAAUGCCGUCGACGCCCGCUGCUGGUGCGCUUCCUGUGACGAAGGAUGUCGUGUCCAUCGUCUUUGGGCCGGUCAAGGAGUACAGUAAGCUCUCCGCGCAACUUCCGCUGGACGACUACGAUUAUCACAUUGCUUUUCCGGGAUUCCGCAAGCACAUUCACGAUGAUAGUGAGACUCUGGUCGCGCUCAUGGAUGCGUGUACGCAGAUGCUUCCAAAGCGGCGGCGCACCAGUCUCUCCGCGGAAGCGGAUCCGCGCAGCGGCGCCUUGCACCUGCUCGAGACAGACCGCACCACGGUUAUGGAGGCAGUCGACUCGCUGCUAGAAAGCGUCGACUCUCUUCUGGACGAGGUGAAGGGGCGUAGGCUGGACGCACAGGAGCAGCUCUCCUUCACGUUCGGCUCUGAGCUGGCGGCGUCGCAGAAUCGGGAGGGAGGUGUUGUUGUUGCGAAUGCGGCUAGCGCGCGCGCAGGUGUCCUGCGUCUGGCCCACAUCCGGCGCCCACAGUUGCUUUUCGACACCCCGGUGGACAAUUCCGCGGCGCCGUUUGUGCCGUACUACUAUGACGCAUCUGGGCAAUCUCACGUUGGGGUAGCUGGCCAGCACCCUUUCGAGUCUGUUAUCAAGGCCUUUUCCAUCCCGGAGUCUCAGAUGCUCCCGCGGGCGGAGGUGCCGCCGGUGCCGCUGGACGCCUGCCCGCUCACGUUUGUGGACACGUCUGUGGCGAUGCAAGCGAUGAUCGCGAAGCUGUUGCUGGCGAGCGAGAUUGCUGUGGACUUAGAGCACCACGACUUCUACAGUUAUCAAGGCUUCACGUGCCUCAUGCAAAUCAGCACACGCGAGGAGGACUUUAUCGUGGACUGCCUGAAGCUCCGCUCUUCGAUGGGGGCGCUGGCGCCGGUGUUCCUGAACCCGUCGAUUCUUAAAGUGCUGCACGGCGCGCGAGAAGAUAUUCGGUGGCUGCAGAAGGACUUCUCCCUCUACGUGGUGAACUUCUUCGACACCGGCGUGGCGCUGCAGACGCUGCAUAUGCCGCACAGUCUCGCCUUUGCCGUCGAUCACUUCUGCCAGGUUAAAUUGAAUAAGAAGUACCAAACGGCGGACUGGCGUGUGCGGCCGCUGUCGGCGGAGAUGGUGCACUACGCGCGCCAAGACACGCACUUUCUUCUCUAUGUUUAUGACCGACUGAAGGCGCUGCUCUUGAACAGCGAGGGCCGCGCCAGUAUCGGCAGCCUGCUCGUGCACGUGUACAACGAGAGCAAGCAGCUUUCUCUACAGAUCUACGAGAAGCCGAGCGUGGUGCCUGAGGAGACGUACAAGAUAGCACUCGGCCGCAGUCUCAGUGGGCUGAACAAGGUACAAGAGAAGGUCGCGCGCGACGUCUUCAACUGGCGGGACUCGGCGGCGCGUGAGGUGGAUGAUUCGCCCACGGCUGUGCUGCACCUCUCCUCGGUGCUCUCCAUUGCCUCUAAACUGCCAACGACGGCGAAGGCGUUGCUGCGAUGCUGCGCUCCAGCCACGGCGGUCGUGCGCGACAACGUCGCCCUCCUCGUGGACUUGGUCAAGGACGCCGUGGCGAGUGGCGAGGAUGACGUGGCGGCGAACGUGCGCCUGGCGCUGACUAAAGGAGAAUCAGCCACGGAUCGGGAAGCUAGAGCGAUGACGGCAGCUACCAAGGAGUGGAACUUCUAUCGCUCCCUCUGCCCCAUGGGUGUGCACCGGCCCAUGACGGGAACCCUUCCUUCCUUGGCCAGUGUGGCGAAGACCUUGGCACCAACCGAGGUGUCGCAGGAGGAGCGCUCCGCCCUUCUCUCGCAUACGACGCCGUCACCGUGGUUCACCGCGAUGCAAGCCCUGUCACGUGUCCUCGCCGCCCGUCCUCCUCAGCACGUCGACCUUCCAGGCGCGGAUGUGUUUGCCGCCCGUCAGACAGCUGCAGCAGCUGCUGCAGUCUCCGUAGCAGCGGCCCAGGCCUCCAAAACGGCUGGAGAGGAGCACGAGGAGAGCGGCGCAGUCGCCAACAGCCGCAGUUGCAGCGUCAGCGAAACGUCUCAGAAGGCUGAAGAGGACGAAUCGACGGCGGACGCCACCACCGCUGCACCGGAUGCCGAGAUGAUGUCGGAAUCCAUCAUACCUCUCGACAAGGGGGCCUUCUCCAUCAAGCAGGAGUACGGUAUUGGGGCCAAAGCACAAGCCAAAAAGGGUGGCAAAGGAAAGAAAUGGCCGAAGAAGUAGUUUGCGCAUCGUGGACUUGGCCGCUUGCUUCCAUCAAAACUGCGACCGAGCGCGUUUGAAACAAAUAGUGCACACUAAGCCACCGCAGCUGCGUGACGGUCGGGGUUCUCCGCCACGCGUUUCCUUUCCGCUCUCCUCUUUGCGUGCCGCAUGGAUGUGUGGCUUCAGUCAUGUGUGCUAAGGGCGCCAUAUGCGGCUCUGUCACGUAAAACAGCAAAGGAACAAGGGAAAGGAAUCACAUCCGACAUUAAACACGAAGACGUAAGAAAAAAAAGCGAAGCAAGAGCGACAGAGCCGUUAAACGCAAACAACAACAACAAAAAAGAGGAACCGCAUGCGGACAUCAGCGUCUGCGUGCACGUAUCGGUGCAACUCACACGCAAGCAAAUGCGCAAAGACGAACACGGGACACACCGAGGAGGCUGCACGGCUCCAUCUUUGACUCGAACUGCUGCAAAACGGUGUCUUUGAGGCGGAGCGCGCUGUCGCGGCGAAGCGCCACCGUGACUUUCGUCCUACGCCAUUCUAGCUCUCAGCGGCGAGGGAGCGGAAAGCUCUUGUGCCUCUGAUGGCCUGACAGCACUGCGUAGUAGCAAAGUUGUCCCCCAUUUCUCUGGCUGGAACGCUGAAAACGGCGCUUGCGUGUGUACUUUUCUCUCUUCUCUCUCCUACGAAACUCACGGUGCUCAUGGGGUAACCCUUUCCCUCCCUGAUUUCUCGUGCCUCUGUUGGUAACUGAGCAG
rnacentral:misc_RNA from 1 species